CCCCCCCGGGGCGCUCCCGGCCCCGCUGCGGCCGCGGCACCAGCGCCCCCCGGCGGCACCGCGGGGAACUGCAGGGACAGAACCGGGACCGGGACCGAGAGCGGGGACAGAACCGGGACCGAGAGCGGGGACAGAAGCGGGACUGAGAGCGGGGACAGAACCAGGACCGAGACCGAGAUCGGGGACAGAACCGGGACCGAGAGCUGGGACAGAACCGGGACCGGGAUCCAGGACAAAUCCCUCGCGCAGCGCUGGGAACCUCGGCUGGUGCCAGUUCCUUGCUGUUCCCCACAGAUCCUCGCCGUGGCCGCAGCAUUUUCCGUUUCUCUGGCUUUCAGAGCCCGGGGUGACACAGGGUCACUCUGCCACCCGAGGGGACACAGAGAUGCACCUGCAGCGCCCGAGCUGCUCCUGCCCUGCCAGGACCUUUGGAUGGACAGCAUGAGCAGGCAGUCAGCUUCCCCAGGAGUCAGCCCGGCUGUUGAUCAGGGGCUCUGGCUGUUGUCAGCUGUAUUUAUUGCUGUAGGCUUGCCUCAGGGGCUGCCUGAGGGGUGCUCGGUGUGUUAGAAAGGAAUAAACAGGAAAAGUUGAUGGGAUGGGAAACUCAGCCUCAACUGCACUGGCUCAGCUCCACAGACCUGCCACGGGCAGGUGGCAUCUGGAAGGGGCCUGCAAGAGGGAUGGAGAUUUUGGAUAAGGGAUGGAGAGAUGGGACAAAAGGGAAUGGCUCCCACUGCCAGAGGGCAGGGC
rnacentral:lncRNA from 12 species